GCCGGGCUAUCUGAUGAGUUGUGUUACCUGAACUAGCUGAGCUGUCUGAGGAACUGCCUGCCGAGAACCACUAUUGUCCCUUUUUGUUCUUUGGUGAAAUCGCGGUAGAAAAUUUUCAGAGUGGAAAGCAGUGAAAGCAACAGGUCUCUUGGCAAGGAACUCAGACUCGUGGGCCCGGGAAGUACAUGCUGGCAUGGAGGGACAGAGACGCUGGGGUGCUGCCGCUGAGAGACCAGUGUGCGACGCACGGAGGCCUGAAAUCUCGAGGUUUACUCCUCAUAGGCACACAGGGGCAUCUGCGCCAAAAGGCAGAAGCUUCGCUCAAACGAUCGCUCAUACCGUCUUACUCGAGAGCUGCUUUGAGCCAGUGAAGUCCAUGUCAAGGAGUGUAGAUCAUUUCAGAUGAGAGCUGAGGAAUCCAGAUACCCAGGCCAUCCAAAAGCUGCAACCUUAGUUGCUCCCACUGUCCAAGGAAUGUUCUAGAUCUACACAAGAGCUAUACAGCCUAGUAUGAGAGCCACAACAUUAGAGCACACCACUUCCGUUGCUGCCGCCUGCCUGGGGUCUGACGCAUGUCUGCAAAUGAAGAGGGAUGCAAAAGCUGUCAAAGACCAACACCUGAAGUGAUACUCACUGGCACAUGAGCAAAAGAACAGUGUAACUGAAUUUAAUAAGAUUUAAAAUUCA